rnacentral:misc_RNA from 1 species
GAAAUGCGAUAAGUAAUGUGAAUUGCAGAAUUCAGUGAAUCAUCGAAUCUUUGAACGCACCUUGCGCUCCUUGGUAUUCCGAGGAGCAUGCCUGUUUGAGUGUCAUGGAAUUCUCAACUCUAUUUGCUUUUGUGAAUAGAGCUUGGAUUUGGAGGUUUAUUGCUGGUACUUGUGAUCGGCUCCUCUUGAAUGCAUUAGCUCGAACCUUUGCGGAUCAGCUAUCGGUGUGAUAAUUGUCUACGCCGUUGCAGUGAAGCAUAUCAAUGGGCUCGGCUUCCAAUCGUCCUUUACUGGACAAUGACUUUGACCUUUGACCUCAAAUCAGGUAGGAUUACCCGCUGAGCUUAAGC